AUACAGAGGGUGCGAGCGUUAAUCGGAAUUACUGGGCGUAAAGCGCGCGUAGGCGGUCUAUUAAGUCAGAUGUGAAAUCCCAGGGCUCAACCUCGGAACUGCAUCUGAUACUGGUAGACUAGAGAUUUGGAGAGGGAAGUAGAAUUUCAGGUGUAGCGGUGAAAUGCAUAGAGAUCUGAAGGAAUACCAGUGGCGAAGGCGACUUCCUGGCCAAAAACUGACGCUGAGGUGCGAAAGCGUGGGUAGCAAACGGGAUUAGAAACCCUAGUAGUCC
rnacentral:rRNA from 1 species